GUGCUUGUACUGCCUUCCAAAGUGAAGAGGAGAUGAACAUGGCUUUGCAUAGCUGUUGUUCUAUGCCAACUUACCUACUCUUGCUGGUACCGUAGUGGCAUAUUGCAAAUUUCGUGGACGAACAACUCUAGUCACUAGUGGCUAGUGAGCAACACUAACAGAGCCUUGACGUUGCUGGACGAGCGACAAUAUAAAUUACAUAAACAUGUAGCUCGUGAUGUGGGAUGACUGCCGUAUCGCAUUGCCAACGCAAACCCAUCCUGUGUCAGUGCAGCCAUCCAGCAACUUGAACUCCCCGGACCAGAUGCCGCUGCAGCUGAACACCAUGCCGAUGGAAAGCCAGGAGUUGAUAGCGAAGCAUUCUGGUCUGCACAGUACAAGGCAAAGAACAAUAUUAUGAAUUACAAUGCAUUGUAAUCUUUCCCACACUUCUUUGUAAAAACAAACAAACAGUGCCAUUAUCACAACACUUGAUCAAGCAUCUUGAUGGAGGUAUUUUCCAUUGUGCUGGCUCAGCAUCUGCACCAGGAAGACCAUGUACACUUA